ensembl:lincRNA
GAGUGUUCAUGUCCAUGAUAAAAGUAUAAACAAACAAACAAACAAACAAACAAACAAACAGUGUUACACAUUCUGUCCUGAACACACUCUGCAGUGUGCAUCUAGUGAGCAGUGAGCAAGUGCUCCAUCCUGAACACAGCCGGUGUGUGUGUGUUUAAGUGUGUAUGGCUCCUCCCACUGAGGGCAGGGCUUUAUCAGCUAUAGAUCAGCUUUCUCUCACCACACACACACACAUACACACACACACACACACACACUCAGGGAGGAGUCGUGUGCUGGUGUCCGAGGCUCAUUCAGGAUGAAAUGUGUGUGAAAGCUUGAGGAGAUGUUGAGGAAACUGGUGUGCCGGAGGAUCUGUGCAUAUAAGAACAUUGAUGAUGAAGACUCAGUGGAUGGAGGUCGAUCCUCAUCAUCCUCUAAAGGAGCUUCAGUACGGAGAACAGGAUCCACACGCAGACCCAGCUCCGCCUCCAGCAGACCAAGCUCCGCCUCCAGGAGACCAAGCUCUGGUAAAGAGAGCUGUGGUGCCGGAGCUGUGGAUGAAGAAGACUUCAUUCGUGCCUUUGAAGAUGUGCCGACUGUACAGAUAUACUCAGCCCGAGAGCUGGAAGACUCCAUCAAUAAGGUCCGGGAGAUUCUGUCUGAUGAAAAACACGACUGGGAGCAGAGAGUGGCCGCUCUGAAGAAGGUUCGCUCUCUGCUGUUGGCCGGCGCGGGCGAUUAUGAUGGUUUUUGUCAUCAUUUGCGGCAGCUGGACGCAGCUUUCAAGCUGUCGGCUAAAGAUCUGCGCUCUCAGGUGGUGCGCGAGGCCUGCAUAACACUCGGGUAUGUGUGUGUACACUCUAUAAAAUGCUGGGUUUCACACAAUUGGUUUGUGUGGAGUUUGCAUGUUCUCCCCGUGUUGGCGUGGGUUUCCUCCGGGUGCUCCGGUUUCCCCCACAGUCCAAACACAUGCGCUAUAGGGGAACUGAUGAACUAAAUUGAUGAGUGUGUAUGGGUGUUUCCCAGUUCUGGGUUGCAGCUGGAAGGGCAUCCGCUUUGUAAAACAUAUGCUAAAAUAGUUGGUGGUUCAUUCUGCUGUGGCGACCCUUCUUGAAUAAAGGGACUAAGCUGAAGGAAAAUGAAUGAUCUUUAUUUACAAAUGCCUAGUUAUAGAUAAGUUUGCUUUGUUCAUACAUAAUAAAAGUCUUCUUUUGUGAUGAUUUCCUGAUAUCUGCUCAGCUUUAGCUCCAUCUGUAGAGUUUAACACCGCUGCAGAGCCACUGCUGACAGAUGCUGACAGACUCACUUUAAUGAAAACAGCCAAUUACUCUAAGUGUUCUGCUUUUAAACACUGGACACGUUCCAACACUGCACACACACACAUACACACACACGCACGCACAUUCUACUGAUGGGCUGUGUUUCAAACUGUGCUUCACCGUCUACAUAGUCAACUACCUUGAAAGGCGACAUCACUGCAGAAAUAAAAUUAACAUAAAUAAAAUUAAAAUAAAUAUUGCAUUUAAAAAAGAGACAAAAAAUGUAUUUAUAGUCAGAAUUAUGCAAAGAUUAUUACUUAAAGCUUUAAUUAGAUUAAAGAUACACUUAAUAAGGGCAGCACCGUGGCUCAGUAGUUAGCACUGUGGCCUCACAGCAAGAAGGUUGCUGGUUUGAGUCCCGGCUGGGUCUGUUGGCUUUCCUGUGUGGAGUUUGAAUGUUCUCCCCGUGUUGGCAUGGGUUUCCUUCGGGUGCUCCGGUUUCCCCCACAGUCCAAACACAUGCACUAUAGGGGCACUGAUGAACUAAACUGGUCGUAGUGUAUGAGUGUGUGAAUGAGUGUGUAUGGGUGUUUCCCAGUUCUGGGAUGCAGCUGGAAGGGCAUCCGCUGUGUAAAACAUAUGCUGGAAUAGUUGGCGGUUCAUUACGCUGUGGCAACCCCUGAUGAAUAAAGGGACUAAGCCGAAGAAAAAUGAAUGAAUGAAUGAAUACACACAAUAAUGGUUAGAGUAGGGUGUUUU